CCUACGGGGGACAGCAGUGAGGAAUAUUGGUCAAUGGACGAGAGUCUGAACCAGCCAAGUAGCGUGAAGGAUGACUGCCCUAUGGGUUGUAAACUUCUUUUAUAAAGGAAUAAAACGAGGCACGUGUGCCUUUUUGCAUGUACUUUAUGAAUAAGGAUCGGCUAACUCCGUGCCAGCAGCCGCGGUAAUACGGAGGAUCCGAGCGUUAUCCGGAUUUAUUGGGUUUAAAGGGAGCGUAGAUGGGUUGUUAAGUCAGUUGUGAAAGUUUGCGGCUCAACCGUAAAAUUGCAAUUGAUACUGGAAGUCUUGAGUACAGUUGAGGUAGGCGGAAUGCGUGGUGUAGCGGUGAAAUGCUUAGAUAUCACGAAGAACCCCGAUUGCGAAGGCAGCUUACUAAACUGUGACUGACAUUGAUGCUCGAAAGUGUGGGUAUCAAACAGGAUUAGAUACCCCAGUAGUC
rnacentral:rRNA from 1 species